CGGUGAAUACGUUCCCGGACCUUGUACACACCGCCCGUCAAGUCAUGGAAGCUGGGUGUACCUAAAGUCGAUAACCGCAAGGAGUCGCCUAGGGUAAAACUAGUAACUGGGGCU
rnacentral:rRNA from 1 species